rnacentral:rRNA from 1 species
CCUACGGGUGGCUGCAGUGGGGAAUAUUGCACAAUGGGGGAAACCCUGAUGCAGCAACGCCGCGUGAAGGAAGACGGUUCUCGGAUUGUUAACUUCUGUUCUUAGUGAAACAUAAUGACGGUAGCUAAGCAGCAAGCCACGGCUAACUACGUGCCAGCAGCCGCGGUCAUACGGAGGUGGCAAGCGUUUUCCGGAAUUACUGGGUGUAAAGGGAGCGCAGGCGGGAAGCCAAGUCAGCUGUGAAAACUACGGGCUUAACUUGUAGACUGCAGUUGAAACUGGUUUUCUUGAGUGAAGUAGAGGUUGGCGGAAUGCGGGGUGUAGCGGUGAAAUGCGUAGAUAUUCGGAAGAACACCGAUGGCGAAGGCAGCCAGCUGG